GUCUAUGGUUAGACCUCCCUGAACACUCCAGACCUCAGAAGCCAAGCAGGGUGAGGCCUGAUUAGUGUUUGGAUGGGAGACCAUCUGGAAGUACCAGGUGCCACACGCU
ensembl:rRNA 5S_rRNA 5S ribosomal RNA